rnacentral:lncRNA from 10 species
ACAAAGCCCUGCAGAUCUGCUGCUUUUCCUGAUUCUCCUGUCCUGAGUGAGUGCAAGGGGCUCCCCUGUCGUCGAUGUGUUCUUUGAAGCAGAUGCUGUGCCUGAUACCUGCUGGAGAGUCCCACCGCCUUGAGUGAGUCAACAAACCUAUCAUCCUUCCCAUCUUCCAGGAUGGAUAUUGGGGUGGGGGGAGGUUAAAGGGAAUACCAUAAAGUUGCUACCAUACGGUUAGGGCUGAAUACAAUGGGAGUACUUAUUGUGAUGAUGUCAAUGAUGAUGACAGUGAUGAUGAUGAUGAUGAUGAUAUCUAGAACUCCAGGUUUUCCUGGAGAGAACCAAGGAGGAUUCCCCACUUACCUAAUAAAUAAAUGUCCUGUAAAUGCAGAACAUGCCAUGUAAUUGAUGACACAAGCGGGAUCUCACUUCUGGGGGAUGAGAAUCAAUUCUUUAUGGAUUCCCACAGGGCAGAGGGACCCGGGUGGAGAUACUAAGCUGUCUGUUGUAUUUCCGAACGAAUGAGUACGUACGUAACAGUUAUCGUGUCUCCUUGUAACUCGUGUGCUAAUCAUAAAAUCUUCACAAGGAUUCAUGACAUUCGUGCUAUGACUAUUCUCAUUUUACAGUGAGGAAGGCGGGACACCUAGGAAUUAAGUAACUUGCCAACAUAGGGACGAGCUCACCACACAACAACCAAGGGUGGGGAUACCAGUCAGGUACUGCGGAAAACACUGG